UACGGGGGGGGCAAGCGUUGUUCGGAAUUACUGGGCGUAAGGGUUCGUAGGUGGCCAACUAAGUCAGACGUGAAAUCCCUCAGCUUAACUGGGGAACUGCGUCUGAGACUGGAUGGCUUGAGUGCAGGAGAGGAACGCGGAAUUCCAGGUGUAGCGGUGAAAUGCGUAGAUAUCUGGAGGAACACCGGUGGCGAAGGCGGCGCUCUGGAACAUUUCUGACGCUGAGGCUCGAAAGCGUGGGGAGCAAACAGG
rnacentral:rRNA from 1 species